rnacentral:siRNA from 1 species
UACAGGCGGCCUGAUUACCCCCUG